rnacentral:rRNA from 1 species
GGAGGAGACAGCAAUCGCGAUGGCUUCAGUAAUGGCGAAUGAACCAGAUUGACACGGUCUACCCGUAUCGUUGUUGGUCACCUGAUGCGGUGAGCACUGGGUGCGCUCCGGGAUGCAAUGCUGGCAUGGGGAUGGCUGUCACUGCUGCACAGACCUACUAUGGCGCCGAUCCAGAGUCAGAGUGGCCUGGGAUGGUCCGCGAUACCUGGGCUACAGCCCUCCUGUCAAGAGGACUGGUCGGUGUUCCUAGCCAUGGUGUGCACACACGCCAGACCCUGGAGUCGAGCUGCUUGGGACUGUAGGUCAAACGGCCAGGCAUGUCCGUGGCAAGGCUGCAUACAGACAUGGGACCGAUAGCUAACAAGUAGACUGAUCGAAACGUGCAAAGGACUCUGCAAAGAGGGUUCAAAGUGCCUGAAGCUGCGGCUGGCGACCGGUGGUGGAUGCUUCCCUGACACAGAGGAUUGUGGCGCGGCCCCGAACCGUGAAGCGGCUGGCGCCGUGCAUGGCCCCAUGGGCCCUGCGCGGCGCACAGGCAUUGGCGGUUAUGGGGCCCUUCCCGGUUUGUGAACAAGCGACCUUGAGUCUGGCCUGCGGCUGGCUGCAGAGCCCCACUCUCUGGUGGGAUCGAUUCGCAGUGGCAUUCUGGCAGAGGCACUCCGCCUGUCUGGACUUGGGGGCAUGCAUUCGGUCGCUGUGACCUUCGCUCCAAUGGAGAAGAGGCUCCUCCGGGAUUCUGGAUGGCCCUCCGGGUUUGACUUUGCUUUGGUUCUGUCCCACCCGGGUGGCUACCCCGCCGGGAGCAUAUCUCCUCCAGAGAGGGCAAAUGUGGCAAGGCAGAAUGGCCCUGUGGGUGUCCGGUGUGCCCCUGUGGGUGCACCGGAUGCAUGUGCCUACCAACCGCGCCGGGUGCAAUCAGUGGGAGAGCUAGUGGUGUGCAGGCCCUCCAGGCCUCUCAUCCCGGCUCUCGGUACCCCGGUUGGUGCACAGUGGUGCAAAGGUGUCAAGAGUGGCUUGGCAAGGCAGGGACAUCCCCUGCCCGUCUYGAAACACGGACCAAGGAGUCUAUCGGAGGCCGCAGGCAAUGCUGUGCGUGUAGUCAAAGCUGGUAAGGAGCAACCGGCGGUGGGCCGCUGCGCCCGAAUGCCACCGCUUUGGUCGGGUUUGGCCUCCGCGACCCGGCCCCAACGGUUGGCAUUGCAAAGCAGCGGCCGUAGCUGCCGAUUCUCCCGAACGUUGCCCGGUUAAAGCAAACGGACCACUUCUCUCUGCGGUGCUACUGCGUUUCACCGCGCCUUUGGGGACUCUGAAAAGCGUGUGGCCUUGCCUCAGGGGCUCUGUGCACCGCGGCGCUGCUUCGGUCCAUGCGGGACCUAUGGCGCUGCGUGUUGCUCUCCCCGGCGCGCAAUGGCAACCGGUCUGAUGCAAGAGCUGCCGAGCCUGAAUCCAAUGGACACUGGUUCUGAGUGCGAGGUGUCCUCCAUGGGACCCGAAAGAUGGUGAACUAUACCUGGCUACGGCGAAGCCGUGGGAAACUGCGGUGGAGGCCGGUCGCAAUCCUGACGUGCAAAUCGUGUUGUCUGAGCGGGGCAUAGGGGUGAAAGGCCAAUCGAACCAUCUAGUAGC